rnacentral:misc_RNA from 1 species
GAUGAAGAACGUAGCGAAAUGCGAUACUUGGUGUGAAUUGCAGAAUCCCGUGAACCAUCGAGUCUUUGAACGCAAGUUGUGCCCGAAGCCAUCAGGUUGAGGGCACGUCUGCCUGGGCGUCACAUAUCGUUGCUCGAUGCCUAUCGCAUUGCGAUAGGACUUAGGGCGAAUGAUGGCUUCCCGUGAGCGUUGUUGCCUCGCGGUUGGUUGAAAAUCGAGUGCAUGGUGUCGGGUGUACCAUGAUGGAUGGUGGUUGAGUGAUGAUGCUCGAGACCAAUCAUGGGUAACUCCACCAGAAUUGGGCUCGGUGACCCACAUGCGUCCCUUGGAUGCUCCCUAAGGAGACCUCAGGUCAGGCGGGGCUACCCGCUGAGUUUAAGCAUAUCAAUAAGCGGAGGA